UAGAUAGAGGCGCGGUAUUCAUCAGUACCCUCCGGCAAGGCCAGCCAGCCGCCGGGGCGCGAAAGGGGCUACCGCCGAAGCGUUGAAAAACGGCUGGUUUUUCGGCGCUGGGUCGGCAGAGAACAUCUGCCGGACUGUCACAAGCUUUUGUGAAGCGCUAUCA
rnacentral:ncRNA from 1 species